CCUACGGGAGGCAGCAGUGAGGAAUAUUGGUCAAUGGACGAGAGUCUGAACCAGCCAAGUAGCGUGAAGGAUGACUGCCCUAUGGGUUGUAAACUUCUUUUAUAUGGGAAUAAAAUGUUCCACGUGUGGGAUUUUGUAUGUACCAUAAGAAUAAGGAUCGGCGAACUCCGUGCAAGCAGCCGCGGUAAUACGGAGGAUCCGGGCGUUAUCCGGAUUUAUUGGGUUUAAAGGGAGCGUAGAUGGCUUGUUAAGUCAGUUGUGAAAGUUUGCGGCUCAACCGUGAAAUUGCAGUUGAAACUGGCAGUCUUGAGUACAGUAGAGGUGAGCGGAAUUCGUAGUGUAGCGGUGAAAUGCUUAGAUAUCACGAAGAACUCCGAUUGCGAAGGCAGCUCACUGGACUGCAACUGACACUGAGGCUCGAAAGUGUGGGUAUCAAACAGGAUUAGAUACCCCAGUAGUC
rnacentral:rRNA from 1 species